rnacentral:lncRNA from 1 species
UCUUAUUCUACAGCUGCUCCAUUGCAUCACUAUAACAACAUAGAUCUGUGGAACAUUUUGAAAUGGCUUGAAAGGACAUUUUAUCCACCAAGGCUGCAAGCAUUUAUAAGGUAUACAUUACCAUUAGUUUCCUUAAAAGUAGAUUGAAAACGUGAUUUGAGUCUGCUGCUAUCACACCAGAAGCAGCACUGUCGUUUGUUAAGAUGCACCAUUGUCUUCUCUCUAGUAGCAGGUCAGGCUCAGUCAGAGACGUCUCCAAACCACAUCCACAACUCUUCGUUCGUGGCAGAGCCUUCUAUCAGUCACUGGAUGCUCUCAAUUAUGUAUUGACUCUGUAAUUCCUCUGUAUGGUACACUGUAGUGCUGUGCUUGAUUCCAGGUUGCUUUGCAGGUAUCUGGUAAUUUCAUCUAAAAGUGUGUUUUUUUUUUGUUUUUUUUUGUUUUUUGAGACGGAGUUUUGCUCUUGUUGCCCAGGCUGGAGUACAGUGGCGCAAUCUUGGCUCACUGCAACCUCCGCCUCCCAGGUUCAAACAAUUCUCCUGCCUCAGCCUCCCAAGUAGCUGGGACUACAGGUGUGCACCACCACACCUGGCUAAUUUUUUUAGUUUUUAGUAGAGAGGGGGUUUCGCUAUGUUGGCCAGGCUGGUCUCAAACUCAUGACCUCAAGUGAUCCACCCACCUCAGCCUCCCAAAGUGCUGGGAUUACAGGGGUGAACCACCACCCCUGGCCACAGAGUCACAUUUCUUUGUGAACUAUCUUACAGAAUUAAAUAUUUUUUCUCUUGUUAAUCUGGCUUUUUGGCAGUGUAAUUUGCAGGCCCACAAGAACCAAAUGUAAAAGGCGAAAGGAAAAUGUUUUCUCCUUAAUAAUGCUUUUUAUUUUUUUUACAUCAACUUUCUAUAUUUUUACUUUGGUGGUCUACUACUAAAUGCCAAAAGAAGAAAUCUUGUGGAAAUGUACACAUAAUCUGAGAUAAGUAUAUAUCAAGGUCAUUCUUAGAUGGUAUCAUUCUUAUACAUUCUGGAUUUGAAAUGUAAUGUGAAAUGCAACUGAGUAGAUAACAAUUUGAAGACCCUUUGUUUAUUCUGUUCAGAAAGUAAGUUUAUAAAGUCAAAUGUCAUUGCCUUGUGCAUAACGCAAUAAUUUUUCAGGACUAUUUGACAAAACUGUGCAGUUUAUUAGUUAUUAUUAACUGCUAUAUCCUUAGCACCUGUUUUUACAGAGCAGAACAUAGUAGACACUCAAUAAAUAAUGACUAAGUUGAAAGAAUGUUGGGCCUGAGUAGUAUAAUAUAACAGGUAUUUUGGUCUUUGUCCCUUGUUCCUGUCACAGAGCACUUAAAACCUGGGGAAUUUCCUAAGUGAUACGAGAUUUGUUACAAUAAUGAGCCCUUUUUGGUCAGACCUGAGUUUAUGCUAAUGAAAUCACUUCAGGUGCUUCCCCUAAAUAGCCUCAGGAAGGGGCUGGUCACCAGAAAGACCAAGUGAUUAGAGGACUGGAACUUCCAGCUCCAUCUCCCAACCUCUGCGAAAUGGAGGUGGAAGCUGGGGAGCUCAAGUUCUAUAAAGACUCUUGAACAAGAUUUGAUGAGCUGCCAAGUUGCCGAACAUGUGGAGGUGCCGGG